rnacentral:rRNA from 1 species
UACGUAGGGGGCAAGCGUUGUCCGGAAUUAUUGGGCGUAAAGCGCGCGCAGGCGGUCCUUUAAGUCUGCUGUGAAAGCCCACGGCUCAACCGUGGAGGGUCAUUGGAAACUGGGGGACUUGAGUGCAGAAGAGGAAAGCGGAAUUCCACGUGUAGCGGUGAAAUGCGUAGAGAUGUGGAGGAACACCAGUGGCGAAGGCGGCUUUCUGGUCUGUAACUGACGCUGAGGCGCGAAAGCGUGGGGAGCAAACAGG